AAAAACUUCGUUAUAUCGCAAAUUUGGUUAAUUCGAGGUUUCGUUAAUUCAAUGGAACUAAGAUCGGGAAAUCAAAAUAGUUCGUUACACGGCGAAUUUCAUUAAAUCGAUGUUCGUUAUAUCGAAGUUUGAAUGUAACUUGCAUGCAC
rnacentral:lncRNA from 1 species